UCACAUCAGGCACAGUUACAGGGG
rnacentral:miRNA from 1 species